ACCAAGGAAAAACAAUCGAAACUGGUUGGAAAAGAAAUCGAAUCUGACUUAAUUGAAACAAAUAUCGACAUCACAUCAUGCACUUCUUCAGUCUUACGUACUUAGAAAGUUGUUAGGAGAAAGGAAAUUCAAAUUAAAGUACUUAUGUAGGAUGAACGAGCAAAAGUAAUGCAUCUCUCUAACAUUUUUUGUUUUUCAACCCGUUUGAUGCAUGACCAAGCACUUUUUGUCACUUCAAUGUUUGGAAACGCUUCAAAACAAUCACCUAAUUGAUUCUCAACUCGUCCAUAAAAAUCGUACGCACUGACCAACCCAUAAAGUAAUUUAUUAUUAUGUCCUUACUUGUUCUUGCUGUAAAAUUUUGCUUUAAGAUAGUAAUAUAAUGACGUUCAUAA